CAGCAAUCAACAACCACCCCAGAUUUGAAGUCUCAGUUAUUAGGAAGAGAAGAAGAUGUGGCUCUUGAGGUCUCCUGUUUUGAUGGCGGCAUCAGCUUUUCGGGUUUGCCUGGUAACAUCGAAGUAGAGAACAACUGGAGAACCUCCAUCAGUCUUAAACUGCUUAUGAGGAGGAGGAAAGAGGGGGCAGUUUGCAGCAGGAGGUCGUCGAAUGAAAUGAAG